UACGGAGGGUGCAAGCGUUAAUCGGAAUUACUGGGCGUAAAGGGUGCGUAGGUGGUUUGGUAAGUUAUCUGUGAAAUCCCCGGGCUCAACCUGGGCAGGUCAGAUAAUACUGCUGAACUCGAGUAUGGGAGAGGGUAGUGGAAUUUCCGGUGUAGCGGUGAAAUGCGUAGAUAUCAAGAGGAACACCUGAGGUGAAGACGGGUUGCUGGGCCAACACUGACGCUGAGGCGCGAAAGCCAGGGGAGCAAACGGG
rnacentral:rRNA from 1 species